GUUCUACUGGUUUUGGAUGGGCUCACGGCCUAUCAGCUUGUUGGUGGGGUAAUGGCUCACCAAGGCGACGACGGGUAGCCGGCCUGAGAGGGUGACCGGCCACACUGGGACUGAGACACGGCCCAGACUCCUACGGGAGGCAGCAGUGGGGAAUAUUGCACAAUGGGCGGAAGCCUGAUGCAGCGACGCCGCGUGAGGGAUGACGGCCUUCGGGUUGUAAACCUCUUUCAGCAGGGAAGAAGCCACAAGUGACGGUACCUGCAGAAGAAGCGCCGGCUAACUACGUGCCAGCAGCCGCGGUAAUACGUAGGGCGCAAGCGUUGUCCGGAAUUAUUGGGCGUAAAGAGCUCGUAGGCGGUUUGUCGCGUCUGCUGUGAAAGCCCGGGGCUCAACCCCGGGUCUGCAGUGGGUACGGGCAGACUAGAGUGCAGUAGGGGAGACUGGAAUUCCUGGUGUAGCGGUGAAAUGCGCAGAUAUCAGGAGGAACACCGAUGGCGAAGGCAGGUCUCUGGGCUGUUACUGACGCUGAGGAGCGAAAGCAUGGGGAGCGAACAGGAUUAGAUACCCUGGUAGUCCAUGCCGUAAACGUUGGGCACUAGGUGUGGGGGACAUUCCACGUUCUCCGCGCCGUAGCUAACGCAUUAAGUGCCCCGCCUGGGGAGUACGGCCGCAAGGCUAAAACUCAAAGGAAUUGACGGGGGCCCGCACAAGCGGCGGAGCAUGCGGAUUAAUUCGAUGCAACGCGAAGAACCUUACCAAGGCUUGACAUUCACCGGACCGCACUGGAGACAGUGCUUCCCUUCGGGGUCGGUGGACAGGUGGUGCAUGGUUGUCGUCAGCUCGUGUCGUGAGAUGUUGGGUUAAGUCCCGCAACGAGCGCAACCCUCGUUCUAUGUUGCCAGCACGUGAUGGUGGGGACUCAUAGGAGACUGCCGGGGUCAACUCGGAGGAAGGUGGGGAUGACGUCAAAUCAUCAUGCCCCUUAUGUCUUGGGCUUCACGCAUGCUACAAUGGCCGGUACAAAGGGUUGCGAUACUGUGAGGUGGAGCUAAUCCCAAAAAGCCGGUCUCAGUUCGGAUUGAGGUCUGCAACUCGACCUCAUGAAGUCGGAGUCGCUAGUAAUCGCAGAUCAGCAACGCUGCGGUGAAUACGUUCCCGGGCCUUGUACACACCGCCCGUCAAGUCACGAAAGUUGGUAACACCCGAAGC
rnacentral:rRNA from 1 species